ACAGCCACAUCACAAUGAAACACCAGUUCCCAUAUGAUCACCAAAGUUAAGCAAUAUUAAGCCUGGUCAGUACCUAGAUGGGUAACCGCUUGAGAAUACCAGGUAUUGUAAG